CCUACGGGAGUCAGCAGUGAGGAAUAUUGGUCAAUGGGCGCAAGCCUGAACCAGCCAAGUCGCGUGAGGGAAGACGGCCCUACGGGUUGUAAACCUCUUUUGCCGGGGAGCAAGCCUGAGCACGUGUGCCCAGGCGGAGAGUACCCGGAGAAAAAGCAGCGGCUAACUCCGGUCCAGCAGCCGCGGUAAUACGGAGGAGUCGAGGGUCAGCGGGAUUUAUUGGGUUAAAAGGGUGCACGGGCGGGCUGUUGGGCCGGCGGUAAAAAUUCAGGGCUCAACCCUGAAGAGCCGUCGGAACUGGCAGUCUUGAGUGGACGAGAGGUAUGCGGAAUGCGUGGUGUAGCGGUGAAAUGCAUAGAUAUCACGCAGAACGCCGAUUGCGAAGGCAGCAUACCGGCGCCCAACUGACGCUGAGGCACGAAAGCGUGGGGAUCGAACAGGAUUAGAUACCCGGGUAGUC
rnacentral:rRNA from 1 species